AAUAAAAAGUCUAAAAUAUUCCUGUCAUUCACAUGUGCAGUGUAAACUUUUUAAAAUUUUAAAUAUGAAUUUAAUCUGAUGGUUUAAAGAUUUGCAAACAGCCCUGGCAUUUUCUAUUGAAUUUAGGCAUAUUAUGAAUCUGGCCUCUAUAAACUAAUAGUGUUAAGAUCUGGCUUGUGAGACUAUUGUGACCCCAAUGCAAUCUCGGUUGUCCUGACAACCAUACAAAAGCUCAAACUACUCACUGCACCUGCUGUCGACACGGGUAACCUGCUGUACCUGUGCUGUACACAGUGAUUAGCUGAUGUUACCCUAUGGUGUUUCCAGUUCUCAGAACCGUCACUAAACUUCUAGCCAUCUGAAUCACAACACACACAGGCGCUGUAGUACGCUUUAUGCAAAACAAUGAAGCAAGCCUACCUGCUCCACAGACACGGAGGCUUAUAUCCAACAAUGAAAAUGAGCACUGUGCUGAUUUGACUUAAUCUUUGUCCAGGAAAACCAGCCCUACAGUGCUUUCAGAAAGUAUUCACACCCCUUGACUUGUUCCACAUUUUGUUGUGUUACAAUGUACAUUUCACAUUUUGUGUCAUUGGCCU